UACGGAGGGGCUAGCGUUGUUCGGAAUUACUGGGCGUAAAGCGCGCGUAGGCGGACCUGCAAGUCGGGGGUGAAAGCCCGAGGCUCAACCUCGGAACUGCCUUCGAUACUGCGGGUCUCGAGUCCGGGAGAGGUGAGUGGAAUUCCGAGUGUAGAGGUGAAAUUCGUAGAUAUUCGGAAGAACACCAGUGGCGAAGGCGGCUCACUGGACCGGCAUUGACGCUUAGGUGCGAAAGCGUGGGGAGCAAACAGG
rnacentral:rRNA from 1 species